GGAGGAGAGUUAAUAUAGAAGAAUGCAUAUGAAUAAAUGGUUGAAUAAGAGAUGGAUGGAUGGAUGGCUAAAAAGAUGAAUAGUGCAGAGGGUAUUUCGUAUUCGUUUCUUUGCACUCACUUCAAGGGCUUUGCUAAACGCACUUCCCACACAGAUUUGUGUGUGUGCGCCUUAAUUGGGGCGUAGGUCGCUUUGGGCUCCGGUUUUGACUCUGGGUUUGGGUAAUUGCUGCCACUUGAAAGGGCUUUUGGUCACAUAAUCGCCUUGUCAGAUAGAGCAAGACACACGGAGAGACGCAGGGAGGAGUGACGAACAAGCUAGCUGGGCGAUGGGCGUUGGGCGUUGGGCGUUGCAUGAUGGGUGGGCCCAGGACCAGUAGCAGCAGCAGUGGCUGUGGCAGUGUCAGGUCC
rnacentral:lncRNA from 1 species